rnacentral:rRNA from 1 species
CGUAGGUGGCAAGCGUUGUCCGGAUUUAUUGGGUUUAAAGGGUGCGUAGGCGGUUUUCUAAGUCAGCAGUGAAAUACGGCAGCUCAACUGUCGAGGUGCUGUUGAUACUGGGGAACUUGAGUACUGAUGAGGUAGGCGGAAUGGACGGUGUAGCGGUGAAAUGCUUAGAGAUCGUCCAGAACACCGAUAGCGAAGGCAGCUUACUAAGGAGUAACUGACGCUGAGGCACGAAAGUGUGGGGGAUCAAACAGGAUUAGAUACCCCUGAUAGUCCACACUGUAAACGAUGAUUACUCGAUGUGUGCGAUACACAGCACGCGUCUUAGCAAAGCGAUAAGUAAUCCACCUGGGGAGUACGCCGGCAACGGUG